CCAAACACACCAGAUCGUACCCAUAACCGCAUCAGGUCUCCAAGGUUAGCAGCCUCUGGUCGAUAGAAUAAUGCAGAUAAGGGAAUUCGGCAAAUUAGAUCCGUAACUUCGGGAAAAGGAUUGGCUCUGAGGAUUGGGUUAUAGUGGCUGCCAUUGAGAGGGGAACUAUGCAGGAGCUGCGUGAGUGGUUCUGAAUUGGUGAACCAGGAUUUGUCAGUUAGCUUACGCCAGCAACAAUCGACUCAGAACUGAAGCGGACAAGGGGAAUCCGACUGUUUAAUAAAACAUAGCUUUGUGAUGGAGUGAAAACUUGUUGACACAAAGUGAUUUCUGCCCAGUGCUUUGAAUGUGAAUAUGAAGUAAUUUGUAGAAGCUCAGGUAAACGGCGGGAGUAACUAUGACUCUCUUAAGGUAGCCAAAUGCCUCGUCAUCUAAUUAGUGACGCGCAUGAUGGAUUAAUGAGAUUCCCACUGUCCCUAUCUGCCAUCUAGCGAACCCAC
rnacentral:rRNA from 1 species